rnacentral:rRNA from 1 species
UACGUAGGGUGCGAGCGUUGUCCGGAAUUACUGGGCGUAAAGAGCUCGUAGGUGGUUUGUCGCGUUGUUCGUGAAAUCUCACGGCUUAACUGUGAGCGUGCGGGCGAUACGGGCAGACUUGAGUACUGCAGGGGAGACUGGAAUUCCUGGUGUAGCGGUGGAAUGCGCAGAUAUCAGGAGGAACACCGGUGGCGAAGGCGGGUCUCUGGGCAGUAACUGACGCUGAGGAGCGAAAGCGUGGGGAGCGAACAGG